rnacentral:miRNA from 1 species
AGUAGAGGCGGGGUUUCACCAUGUUGGCCAGGCUGGUCUCAAACUCCUGACCUCAGGUGAUCCACCCA